rnacentral:rRNA from 1 species
GAUGAACGCUGGCGGCGUGCCUAAUACAUGCAAGUCGAGCGAACGGACGAGAAGCUUGCUUCGCUGACGUUAGCGGCGGACGGGUGAGUAACACGUGGAUAACCUACCUUUAAGACUGGGAUAACUUCGGGAAACCGGAGCUAAUACCGGAUAAUACUUUGAACCGCAUUGUUCACAAGUGAAAGAUGGUGUUGAUGUCACUUAUAGAUGCACCCGCGCUGUACUAGCUAGUUGGUAAGGGAACGACUCACCAAGGAAACGAUGGAUAGCCGACCUGAGAGGGUGGUCGGACGCACUCGUAGUGAGACACGUGCCUACCACCCGCGGUAGGCAGCAGUGGGGUUUGUUCAGCAAUAUAGGCAAGCCUGACGGAGCGAGGCCGCGUGAGUGAUGAAGGUCUUCGGUCGGUAGUGAACUGUUAUUAGGUGAGAACAUAUGUGUAAUUAACUUAGCACGUCUUACCGGUACCUAGUGAAAAAGCACCGGCUAACUACGUG